rnacentral:misc_RNA from 1 species
GGCCUUCAUGAACAUGAGAAAAAACUUUCGUCGAAGCAACUCGAAACAUCUAAACUCAGUCGCGGCAAAUUGUGGGUGAAUGUUUUAUAUUGUAUUUGCAUUUUAUGAUAAAUAUUUCUUAAAUUGCUUUGAAAUUCAUAAAUUUGAGAUGUAGAUGUUUCCCAAACACAGCUUCCUUAUCUUUCGUGCUGCACUCUUGAAUAUAUUAUUCCCUUUACACAUGGCGUGGAGGUCACAUGGAAAAAGUAAUGCAGAGCUUAUACAGAAUUUAAAACGAAAUGGAAUUAUCAAGGAUCCAAAAGUUGAGCAAGUGAUGUUAGCUGUAGAUAGAGUAAAUUAUUGCAAGAAUAAUCCUUAUUGGGAUUCGCCUCAAGGAAUAGGUUAUGCAGUUACAAUAAGUGCACCCCAUAUGCAUGCUUAUGCUCUAGAGUUACUGAAGGAUAACUUGUAUGAAGGAGCAAAAGCAUUAGAUGUUGGUUCAGGAAGUGGUUAUCUUACUGCUUGCUUAGCUCUUAUGGUAGGUGAAACAGGCAAAGCUAUUGGAAUUGAUCACAUAGAAAACUUAGUCAAUAUGUCCAUAGAAAAUGUUAAAAAGGAUCAACCUGGUCUUAUUGAAAGUGGUAGGAUAAAACUAGUAGUUGGAGAUGGCAGACAAGGAUACAAAGAGGAAGCUCCAUAUGAUGCUAUCCAUGUAGGAGCUGCAGCCCCAGAGUUACCUCAAGAGUUGGUAAAUCAGUUAAAACCUGGAGGCAAACUCAUUGUUCCUGUUGGCCGAGAAGGACAGAAUCAAAUGCUGGAGCAAGUUGAGAAGUUGCCUGAUGGCAGUGUGAGGAAAACAAGUCUGAUGGGUGUUGUAUAUGUGCCCUUAACGGACAAAGAAGCACAGUGGCCUGGAAGACUGCUGUCCAGAAUUCUUCAUAGGAAAAAAUCUUCACCCUAAUAUUGUGAAGCAGCUUCCUUUGCCUACAGAUUUCAGUUUGUUCUUCUUUUGAUCUAAAAAUUAGGAGAGGAACAAAUGAGCUUUAGCAGCUUACUGUUCUUGCCAGCUAUGAUUGUUCUCUUUGGCUAUCCUGCAAAAUCCCAGAGAUAUUAACCAGGCAAUUUGUGCUGCUUAGGAUUUGAAGUAGAUUGAUCUAUGCAGAAAACUAUAUGCCAUAUCCAAAAACCUAUUUCAUAUUGCCUAAGCAAAUUCUGAUAUGUUUCACUGCAACUCUCCAAUCAAGAGAUAAAAAAAAAAACAGCUGAUUCAUAAAUUUCCAAAGUUUUCUUUGAAAAUACUUCUGAGAGAAAUAUUCUGAUUCUAAUAUAUAUGUAAUUUAUUUUUGUUAAUAUAAAUUUUGAAAUAAAUUUUAUUUCUGAAAAUAAUUGAAUAUACUAUUAAAAUUUUAAUUUUUUAUUUGCUGGUUCUUGAAUUUUGCACUAUUUUAACUGAUAUUUUUAUUUUCUUUGACCUUUUGGAAUGUUACAAAUAAUAUUUGAAAUGCUAUAAACUCAUGUGUUGUACAUUAUUUAUAAAAAUGAUUAAAUAAUUUCUUAAUGUGUGUAAAGAAUUUUUUGAGUUAAGUUUAUUGCAGUUUGUGACUAGUUAAUAAAAAUUUGAUUGCUCUGUUUAUUUUAUGUGACUGUUUAUUUUAAUCAUCAUCAUCUAAUGUUAGAUACUUGAGGCUAUCUGUUUAAGGAAGUUAAUUUGAAAAUUGGAUAUAAUGGAUACAACUAAGUACUAAAUACUAUAGUAUUUGAAGCACUUGGGUCACACAUUUUUUGGGCAAGAUUAUUAAAUCAUGUUUUUACUAAUAAAUAAUAUUCAUUUAUAUAAAUGUGUAUAAAUUUUUGGUGUGUUAAUCCUAAUAAUUAAAGAAAUUAUUUUUUAAA